ensembl:lncRNA
AGAAAGUAUAAUUAAAGAGAGACUUGGAAAGAGUGACUGUGUACAGUGCUUACAGAUGAGCAGGAAGCGGUUGUUGGUAUUGUGCUCUCAGUGGUCACGCUGACUACACUACCUUUAAAGCCAGCAGCGACAGCUUCCAGCAUAGAGCCAAUGAAUGACUCCACAUCCGACUUCCUCCUCUUUUCCCCCAUCUCCCACGGCUUUGGCUAAUGAACUCUCCAUGUAUGAAGUGUGGCUGUGAAAUCUCAUUAUCAAAACACCAUUUUAAUUGCGGCAGUUAAGAUUUGGAAGCCUUUUCCGAAUCCUCGCUGCAAUGGCACCCUGAUAGCGGAGCUGCACAGCCGCGAGGGGCUAAUCUAAAACAAAUUAGAUUGCGGCUCUGGAAGAUGGAUAGAUGCAUGUGCUAUUUCUCUGUCGUUCUCUCCCUUUAGCGGGCGGCAUAUUAAUCAUGUGUCUGAUUUAUUCAGCUUUAUAAUUUUCUGUUGCUCUGGUGAAAGGCAGUUUGUGUUUGAUGGCUUAUGUUGUCGCGGAGCUAUGGGAGACGCUAGAGUGCCAGGUUACGAGCGGUCAGGAUGGGGCGGCGGUGGUGGGAGAUAUUUUUGAGAAAGUUUGUAGUAAGUGGGUGUGAAUGGAGUGCGAUAAGUUGAACCUAUGGGUUGUUUUUAGUAUGUCUUUUAAAGCUACGGUUUUUUUAAGUGACAUUUUAGUUAUGUUUGUGUGUGGAAAAAAGUCACAGGAGGGAUAAAAGGAUAGGAGAGGAGAUUAAAAACUGAGAUAUGAAAGUUUACUCCGAGUGCGAGCACUGGUGCUACUUCAGACUGGUGGCCUGGGAAUGAAGGGAAUGGCGAGUUUUACUUAACAUUAUUACUCAACACAUCAGGCAGCGUGGGGGUGUUGUUUGGAAACCUAAUGUGGCGCGAAUUAGAAAUAGAGCAUGCUGGGUCUUUUUUUUCUUUCCUGCUGUGCUGAAACAGGCUUGCUGUUUGACUUCCUGUUACCAUUAUUACUUUAUGUCUUUGAUUAACUUCUAUUUACAAAAAUAUAUCAUGUUCCAUUACUGUUAGCAACAACUGGUUACAGUGAAAAAAAUAAUUCCUAGUUGUGACAGUUGUUUUGCCACAUCCUUAUUUUAUGUAGGGAGGAUUUUUCAGAGAUACAUUUUCAUUGGCUUAGUCAAGACUUAUUUCCUGUGCAAAUUGUAGCAUAAUUCAUAUUUUCUGUGGAAAGUCAUGUGCCAAAUAUCCAGCAAUGUCACAAAAAACUAAUUUCUGGACAAGGCCUCAAACCCAAGUUAUAUUCUCUCAAAACAUCAAGGUCCGCAUACCCAAAUUUGAAAAGAUUAUCCACUACAAACAUGUCAACUACGUUCCAUCAUACCACCAAUGCCUCAAGUUGGACCAAAGGAGGUGCUAUAUUGUUUUUCUUUUCUUUCUUCUUUUUUUUAUUAUUUUAAUGCAACAUUAGUUUUCAACUCUGAGACUAGUUCCUGUUUUCAAAAGAAAAGCAUCAUGGGAGGUUGAACAUCAUGAGAACCAUGUUGAUUUGUUCUUGGCGACAUAAUAUUAUGUUGUGUAACAAAAUGAUAAAACACCUAUUCUAUUUGUCAUGAUUCUACAAUUGUGUAUUAAUAGGUCAAUGAGUGUAUACCAUUUAAGUACGGCCAAAGUACGAGUAAUCCAAUUCAUAAUCUACAACAGAAAACAACAGCUUGCCUAUGUGUGAGCCUUUAUUUUGAAAACAGGGCUAUUCUUUUUUUACCAUUGCAUUUUGAAAACCUUUUGUUUUUGUAUCUUGUUCAUGUUUACAUUGUAUCUUGCAUUGCCCUAAAGAGAAACACUAUUAAAUGUAUUAUCUUUGUUGUUUAACAUGGUCUCUUUGUUGGCUGUUUAU